UCCCAUCGCAGGCCCCGCCCCCGAGGCCGGGCCGGAGGGCCCCCGCGGCGUGACGCGAGCACGGCGGCUCCGCCCCCUGCGUCUCCGGCCUCGCUGGCCUUUGGGGGGGCGGGGGGGAUGGUUCCAUCAUGGCGUCAAUGCAGAAACGGCUACAGAAAGAACUAUUGGCUUUGCAAAAUGACCCACCUCCAGGGAUGACUUUAAAUGAAAAGAGCGUUCAAAAUUCAAUUACACAGUGGAUUGUGGACAUGGAGGGUGCACCAGGGACCUUAUAUGAAGGGGAAAAAUUUCAACUCCUAUUUAAGUUUAGUAGUCGAUAUCCUUUUGACUCUCCUCAGGUCAUGUUUACUGGUGAGAAUAUUCCUGUUCAUCCUCAUGUUUAUAGCAAUGGUCAUAUCUGUUUAUCCAUUCUGACAGAAGACUGGUCCCCAGCGCUCUCAGUGCAGUCAGUCUGUCUUAGCAUUAUUAGCAUGCUUUCCAGCUGCAAGGAAAAGGUAGGACUUUUCAGAACUCCUACAGAGACGACCACCAGAUAAUUCUUUUUAUGUGCGAACAUGUAACAAGAAUCCAAAGAAAACAAAAUGGUGGUAUCAUGAUGAUACUUGUUGAUGAUGCCACUAUUGUCAUCCUCCUAGCAGAAGAUAGUCCUACUGAGAAAAUGAGCACUUUGAUCAUUCAGUCUUUGAACUUUAACCUUUGACUGGAAGUGACCUAUAGGCAAUGAAGACUACUUCCUUUUACUGCAUUUUUACUCGUGUGCAUUCUGGGCGCAUGUUGAUCGCUGGUUCAGUCCAGGCAACUGACAUGCUUUUAUUAGUCAUACAGUAUCAAUGCAGGUGUCAGGAAAUGUCAAAUAUAAUUCCAUUUUUUAUUUUUAUUUUUUUAAGCGUUUGGAAUAGUUCCAGGUCCUCAUGUAUUGUGCAAUAACAAUGACUUCCCUGGUGGUGUUGGGACGUUCAUUGCCGGCAAUGGACGUCAUAACAGGAAAAGUUUUUCAUUAACUUCUGCCACUCGCUGAUUAAUGCAUAAUAGGGCCUAUGAAAUGAACUUAUCGGUUAUAGUGGGGAUUAUAAAUAACGUGAGGGAUCCAACAUUACUUUGAAAGUCACCCCAACUGUUUAUAUUUGGAUUCUAUGCACUGUGAUCCUGAGGUUAACAGCAUGAAUUAACAUGCGUCUUCAAAGGACUGUAAUGAAAGAUCAUUGCGUAUUUAUUUAAUUGUUUAUAUCUGCUGUCAAAUUGUUUUGACAUGGAAGGUUUUCAAGUAACAUUGGCAGAGAGGUACAAUAUGUUAUCCCUAUGGUGAAAAUAAAUUCAUUUGUUGUAUAUAAUUCCUCAAUCUCUGAAGUAAAGGUCUGAGUAAUAUAGGGUCUGACUGGUUUAAUCAAGGCUUUAUUUUGGAAGUAAGAAAAAUGGCAGUAAUGAUUAAGUUGCUGCAGUCCAUAAAUUGGGCUUGUCAUUUGUGUAUUAAAGGUUUUUUUCCAAGUAGAUUAUACUCGGUUACUUCCUGCUAGCCAUCAGCAUGAGCCCUACUGCCUAAACACUAUUUCAUUUAUUUAUGUUUGGAAAAUUCAUAAACAUUUUUGUUUGCAAUCUUGUUUCUUUUUGUUACGUUUUAAGUUUGAAUGUUAUAUAUUACCUUAAUUGAAAAACUUUUGUCAAGCUUUUUCUUGUAAGCUUUCUUUACUUGUAAGUAUCAUCUUGUCUUCAAUUCUGUACCCUAAAAUAAGAAAUACAUUUUUGACAGAGGCUUAAUGUUUUAACGAGAGUGUGGACAUUUUUAUUUUAAAUUUAGGCAAAAGUGCACUAUAAAAUGGUAUGUUUGCUUGUUUGUCUCCACAACCAUACAUUUUUUCCUGGAAAGAUUUAUUUUGUUUGCUUGUUGAAAAGACCGCUUAUAGCUAGGUGAAAUUUUUCUAUAGAAAAAAAUGUUGUUCAAAGGCCCAAUCCUCAGUACCAUGUAAGUUAAAGCUACAGCUAGGUUCACUUUUUAAAAAGUGAUUACUGUAUUUUAUAAAUUAAUCUUUUCACAUAUGCAAAAUCUGUUUCUACUACAAUGUUAUUUUUACUAAUGCCUUAUUGUUGCACUCUUUUUGAAAUAUCCUACAGUGAAUAUAUGGAUCAAUUUGGGUUUAAAAGUAAAAUCCAAUUGGCUGAAAGGUUUGAAAUAUGUACCCCAGUAAAACCAUCCAAUUAAUAAUUGAUAAAUAAUGUUUUAAAAGUUGUUUUUAAUCUCUGUAUAGAUGACAUUUUGUAGCUUUGUACAUGUUAAUCAAGGGCAUAUAAUUUUACACUCUAAAAAAUAUAAUUGCUGAACUCAGGGGUGGGUAGACUUCAAAAUUAUGUCUGCUAUAGAAAUAACUUGAAAAAAAAAAAAAAACACAUGGCCAGCCACCAAAUUGUGGACACUGUUUAUACCAUGAGCUAGCAUUUACCACUUUUUAAAAAUUUGAAACGUUUUUGUUCAAUUUGGACUAAACAUAUAUUCUCAUAGUGUUCUAUCAGUUUUAUUAGUUGGCUGUUUAACCAAGAGAGAAAAUACUUGGAUUAUUGAUAGUUUUUCACUGCUUGUAUAUGAAAAUUGCAACUAUAAAUUAUAUAUUUUCAUAUUUUAGAAAACUGGUCUAAACUACUGAUUGUCAUCAUCUUUUUCCAGUAUGUUAGGAAGAAAUCUCUCUUGUGUAUUUCUGGUCCUCCUAACUAAAUCCUCUUAUAAAGAAAUGACCUGUGACAUUUAUUCACCAAAGGAAUGAAUAUACCAGGUCAAAGAUUAGCAGUGCUAUACUAUAGAUUAAUAGAUCAUAUAUAGCCUCAGUUUGAGUUUUUAUAAGUAUUUUAACAUACCUCUCUCUCUAGAUGUAGAUAUGGUAAAAUCAAAUAAAGCAAACAAAAAAACCAAAUAACUUCAGUAUGUUUUAUGUUUUAAAGAGAAUAAGAUGAAAUAUCCUAAUAGGAGCACCAGUUGUUCAAAAUUCAUAAUCAAAUUAACAUCAUUCCUACGGAAUAUAGGAGUUAACUGAAAAUUGCUUUGCACUUAGAGUUAAUUAAUUUUAUAUUAUUAAAAUAUUGUAAGUUACAUUAUUGAAAGUCUUCAUUUAUCUGAGUCAUUGCUCUAGAGGGCAGUUAAUGGCUUUGUAAUUAUAAGCAGAAUAUUUCCCUGUAAUGUGUUGUUGAAAGACAGCCAGACUACAAAGAAAAUGUAUAUAGGAGUGUGCUACUUCCUUCUCCAGUUUUCCUCCAUGGUGCAUUAGGCCUGUAGAAUUAAGCUUCAAAUAGAAAAUAGGUAUUCUCUUCCUUUUUAUUUAUUUAUUUAUUUAUUUUAGGCCAUUCUGCUGGUUUGCCAAAUUCUGUUACAACAGUGAUAAUUCAGUUUCUUAUUUAUGCAUGCAUACAUAAUGAACUUGAUGCCCUCUCAGAAAUUCUUUUACAAGUAGGAAUUAAUACCAUAAGUUUGAAAGAGAAAGAUGCUUUUGAUCCUUCAAAGGAAAUUUAAAAACGCAUUUUAUGGCUGUUGUCUUAAGGAAUUAAUAAUAGUCACUUUUAAAGAAUUUACUUGUAAUAUAUAAUUUUUCCUUUUAGCCAUCAGGGUAAUAAAGCAUUUUUGACUACCCAGAAAAAUGCUAAAAAUAGCUUUUUUAUAGUUAACAAUAGCACUGAAGAAAGAUCUUGAUCCUUGUUGUUUUGACUGAAAUUAUAAAAAUUAUAAAUAUUUGGUAUAAAGCAACUAGAAUAGUUUGUUACUUUUGCCCUCCUGAAAUAUUGAAUAUAUGCAGAUAUAUUAUCAUUAGAUUCUGGUGGUGAAUUAUUUCUUCAGAUUCUAAAACAGGUAUCUAGUAACUAUUGACUGUCCCCAGAUUGCAUCAAAGAUGAAUUGACAAGUGAUAGACAUAAGUAGUGAUAAUGAAAAUGGUAUGUAAGUAACUACAUAUUGUUUCCAGGGAUCCAGUCUAAUUUUUAAAAAGCCUAUUGUUUCUGAGAAUUGAGACAUUUAAAACUGUUAAAGCUUGCUAAAAAUAGAAGAGAAGAGGAGGUACUGUGUGUUCAAAAGUUUUUUUU